AUGAAAACGAGUGCCCCCAUGGUUUGUGGGCAGCGACCUAGGAUUGAUCGGCGUUCCGUAAAACCUUUGAAGACGACAAGAUCCAAGGAUCUUCAGCUUCACCAUCUACCCACAUGGAGGGUGAUAAUACUUGUUCCUCACACAUUAAUUAAGGAUGUACUGCGUGUUAUACUAUCACGAUUGACUAUGAAAGAAGCCGUGCGAAUGAGCAUACUAUCUAGGAAGUGGAGCAGGCUUUGGAAAUGCUACCCAAAGUUAGUGUUCACCCGAGCCACGAUGCGUCGCAGUAACGCCACGACAGGCCCUGCAAAACCCUUGCGGACAAGGUUUAUCAGGGGGAUCAACAGCAUCCAGCGACAGCUCAAGUCAUCUAACCUGAACAAGUUUGUGGUCAAGUUUGCGCUUCGCAAAAGGCACACGCCGCACAUUGAUAGAUGGAUCAAUUUCUGUGCCUCGUCGAUGGCGAAGCAUGUUGUUCUUGAUUUAUGCCCAGGGCCGAAAGGCAGUACCGACACAGAUGGCAAAUACAGCUUCCCGCUGCAUCUUCUCGGCGCCUCGGGUGGUUCUUGCGUGAACUCUCUUAGUCUGGGGUUCGUCAAUUUAACACUGCCUCCUGAUCACCGUGGAUUUGCAAACCUUAAGAAGCUCUCUAGAAAUAGUUCACGUCACAGGGGAUCUCGGGUGCCUGCUCCCAAAAUGCGCUGCUCUUGA
rnacentral:rRNA from 1 species